rnacentral:lncRNA from 1 species
CUGGGGGCGGAGCGGGGCGGGACUCCGCGGCGUCUCUGUGUCUCUUGCGCGCGGUCGCUGCCUCCUUCUCCAGCGCCGCUGCCAGCCGGGCUCCGGCGCCCUGGACCCAGUACUGCUUCUCCCCAAAUCCCCCCACCUGUCUUGUGGAUCGCGUGAGGGACGACGUGGAACUGGAGAUGAACUCCUUUAUGGCAUGUUCUGUGUCAAAGUGGAAUUUCUCUCUAGGCCUGCUUUGCCUCUUUCCCUCCCCUUUCCCCCUCCCCCCCCCAUUACCACCAUUUCCAUCACAUAGGGGUCAGCUCCUCCCAGGACCUGGAAAGCUACAGAGGGAGGCUCCUUUUUGGUGGACCAUUGGAAGUUUAUUGGCCUGAGAGAGCCAUCUGUUAUCAUUCCAAGUUUGGGUGAGCCUGGAAAUGAAGAAAGAAGUAUGGAUUUGCAUGUUGAUGUUACAGUCAAUGUUUAACCAUUUAAAAAUAAAUUAAAUAAAAAAACUUUUUGAAACUGUUAG